GGGAAGGAACCCAACCUGAGAAUCAAGGUGACCCACCAAGCGGUACCUUCAGAUUCCAUUUAACUCCUUCCUGGCUGCACCUCCAGGAGCAGACAGAGCAGAAAGGUGGGGUAAGAGACACCCCAGCGGAACUUCAGCUUGUGCAACUUAGAGCUGCACAAGUCUCUGCUGAGAGUGGGUGUGGGCGUGGGGGCCUGGCCAGGGUCCUCGGGGACAUGGAAACCGCGCCCCAGCUCCUAGGGCCUCCAUUGGAGAACACCCGGAAGUCCUGGCUGCUGGCCACCAUUCUAUGAUGAAACCCAGUUUGAAAACCGCUCAGCUUGGAAGUUCCAAUUGUUGUGUUACAGUUGUUGAUUCAGAGAAAGGCCUUCAAGAACCAAGCCUGUUUGGCUAUUCCGGGUCCCGGGAAGCUCUCUACUCUACACAGCUGGAAUUCUGGUGAGAGCUGCUCUGGACUGUGGUGAAUGGAAGUGUGACGAGGGGACACUCUUGCCUUGUUCCUGACCUCAUGGGGCGUAUCCAGCCAUUCGGGAAGAUUAGCUCUCCGCUUUCCACACAUGCCACUUUCGAAGUUGAUGAAGUUCUUUCUGGGGGAGUAUGGGUUUUGUCAAAUGCAUUUUCUGGACCUGUGGAAAAGCCUAUGUGAUAUUUUUAUUCUAUUGAUAUAAUGCUGUGUAUUGUUUUUUGGAUGGUAAGUCAACCUUGCUUCUCCGCAGUAACUCUCACUUGGUCAUGAUAUAUAUAAUCUCUCUGAUAUGUUGCUAGAUUUUGGUUGCUUGUUUUGUUGUUGUUGUUGUUGUUGUUGUUUUGUGGGGUUUUUGCCAGUCAGGGUCUCUCUUUCUAGCACUUGCUGGCCUAGAACUUGCUAUGUGGACCAGGUUGCCUUGGAACUCACAGAGAUCCAUCUG